rnacentral:misc_RNA from 1 species
GCCGCCUCUCCUCUGUCUCAUUGCGGCUGGAACAGGCGAGCAGACGCCCAGUUCCAGGCCCCCCGCCUCUUCUCCUCUCUUUUCUCUUUCUCAGGCGAGGACAGACGCUUGAAACAGCAAUGAACCACCAGCCAUCGGCAGCAAUAACUUUGAGAAGCAGUCGCAACGACAACGGAAAGCAGCUGCCACUGCCUCUAUUUUCCUCCGGCCAGCAGUAGGCGACAAGACCUAUAGUAGCUCCAGCGAAGACCAGGCGGCCAGCAGCUCUACGAGCUUUCUGUUUUCCCUCGUUUUUCGUUGCUACGACAAAGGCCUCGGCAAAUUUUCUGAAUCUAGCUAAGGAUCCGCCCAGGUUUCAAACUUGAAGUUCAAGUUGAAGA